CCCUCUUCGACCCAGCAGGAGCAUCCAGCUCAAUCACCAAGGGCCACUUACUGGUAAUGUCUUGAUGAGCCUAAGGUGUGGCGACCAAGUUUUCAGAACAACAGUUCUGUCCGUCUAGCUGCCGAAGCCUUUUCGCCAGAGUUUGAUUCUCCAUGUCGGCCUAUGUCGGUUCUAGAGCAACGACUCUUGGAGCCGAAAAGCCUUGUCUCUAUUGCUGCUGUCAUUGCUAUUUUUUCAUCUUGGCUCCCAGCAAGAGGGACCUCCUCGAAACCUCCGAUUACUUCCUAACAUCAAUCAUUGAGAAAGAACACUUAUGAUCGGUCAGUAAAUAUUGUAUGUAAAGAGAACCUAUGCUGAACGAUAAUGGAUUGAAGACUUACUCUCAGCUGGGUCGACGAGGUGAGCUUUUACCAGGUUGACGAUAAAGAGGAAUUCUGGAUAAAUUCGAUCAAUAGCCGGCACCUUGCUCUUCAUUCUCUCCACCUUCUGUAUGUCCGCUCUGGUGGGAACAAGCUAUUUCAACUUACCUGCAAAAAUAGGUACACAUAAGAAACGGAAGAAGAUAUACAUAGAAGGUGCCGAAUAAGAACCUAAAAACCUACCUACCAUUUGAAAAGUGGUGGGUAUAUGUAAGCGGACGGGUCUGUCCGAAGGUGACUCCCAGUCACCUGACAGAAGAACCCUCCGAUUCCUCUAGGACUUCUGUGAGGUGGGCACUGCCCUCACGAAGUGGCCCCGUUCGGACGCUCACAAGUAGUUCGCUUGGACCCAAC
rnacentral:lncRNA from 1 species